rnacentral:misc_RNA from 1 species
UUUCCGUAGGUGAACCUGCGGAAGGAUCAUUACAGUAUUCUUUUGCCAGCGCUUAACUGCGCGGCGAAAAACCUUACACACAGUGUCUUUUUGAUACAGAACUCUUGCUUUGGUUUGGCCUAGAGAUAGGUUGGGCCAGAGGUUUAACAAAACACAAUUUAAUUAUUUUUAUUGAUAGUCAAAUUUUGAAUUAAUCUUCAAAACUUUCAACAACGGAUCUCUUGGUUCUC